rnacentral:rRNA from 1 species
GACGAACGCUGGCGGCGUGCUUAACACAUGCAAGUCGAACGGAAAGGCCCUGCUUUUGUGGGGUGCUCGAGUGGCGAACGGGUGAGUAACACGUGUGUAACCUGCCCUUGACUUUGGGAUAACUUUAGGAAAAUGGGGCUCAUACCGGAUAGGAGCUCCUGCUGCGCGGUGUGGGAUGGAAAGUUUCGGCGGUUGUGGCUGGACUCGCGGCUUAUGCGCUUGUUGGUGGGGUAGGUGCUUACCAAGGCUUCGAAGGGUAGCCGGCCUGAGAGGUUGACCGGGCACAUGAGGACUGAGGGACGGCCCAGAAGCGUACGGGAGGCAGCGGUGGAGAAUAUGGCACAGUGGGCGGGAGCGUGUGGCAGCAACGCCGCGUGCGUGAUGACGGCCUUCGAGUUGUAAACCGCUGUCGCCGGAGACGAAGCGUUAGUGACGGUAAUGGGUAAAGAAGCACCGGCUAACUACGUG